AUGUCUCCUAGAGAUCCUCUAAACACUUCAUUGGGGAUACAUUUUUAAUGACAAUCACCCACUGAAGUGUUUGGGGGAACUCUAGGACCCAU
rfam:Brassica napus, WGS project CCCW01000000 data, contig: 13750